rnacentral:rRNA from 1 species
CAAUAGCGUAUAUUAAAGUUGUUGCAGUUAAAAAGCUCGUAGUUGGAUUUCGGGGUGGCCUGCCUGGUCCACCGCAAGGUGAGUACUGGUCAGCCGCCCUUCCUCUCGAAAGCCCCGACUGCUCUUCAUUGCAGUGGUCGGGUAGUUCGGGACGUUUACUUUGAAAAAAUUAGAGUGUUCAAGGCAGGCUAUCGCCUGAAUACAUUAGCAUGGAAUAAUGGAAGAGGACCUCGGUCCUAUUUUGUUGGUUUCUAGGGCCGAAGUAAUGAUUAAGAGGGACAGUUGGGGGCAUUCGUAUUUAAUUGUCAGAGGUGAAAUUCUUGGAUUUAUGAAAGACGAACUAGUGCGAAAGCAUUUGCCAAGGAUGUAUUCAUUAA